AAAUGUUACAGCUCUUGUAGAAUUUUUCUAGUAGGUUUUCUGUUUUUUAUUGGGAAAACACAC
ensembl:snRNA U7 U7 small nuclear RNA